rnacentral:lncRNA from 1 species
UCUGCAGAGUACAUCUGCAUACGCUUCUUUUUGGCUUCACACAGGUGCUGCUAACCCAUCAGCUAGGACCUCUACCACACACUACACCAGACCAAAAGGGAGACAGAACCUACUGCCCGUUUUCCCUGGACGAGAAGGGUGGUGUCUCAAGGGGAGGCCAGAAAUUGUCUCUGGGGACUUGGAUGCUGUUUCUGCUUGAGGAUCUCUCUGCCAUAGGACAAGUAUUUUACUCAGCCUUGUCCCUCAGUCACUGCCUGUGAGAUGAAGGGAUCUUUAUAUAUCUGUGAGAUAUGUGACCAGCUGACAGACCCUCUGCCAAUUAUCAGGUGGAUUUAUUUUCUCCACAAAUUGCAUCUUUGCCAUGAGCAGCCUGUGACUUCAGCCCCUGCGCCCUCAGAGCUUCUCAGUGCAGCUAGAAGUCUGACAGCUAUUCUGAAUGUCCUGAAGUCUA